GCCCCUGCCAGGGGAAAGGGAGACCACCCCUUACCUGGAUCCCCGACGCGGACUGGAUCCCCAGGUGACUGGAGCAAGAACCGCUACGCCCCUGCUUCCCAACGCUCCUGGCUCUGCACCUCGCUUCUAAGUACAGUUCCCAUACCUACCGUAAUCUGGAUCUGGAACACUGUGGAUGGUGAUGAAUGCUUGUCUCUUUUGAUGCUUGCUUCAUAAGUAUUCUGCUAAGAAGCAGGAGCUCUGGAAACUGUUUGGGGCCACAUCUACCCUGUUUUCUCCCAGUGUUACCGUGACUGAACUACAGGAAUGUGAACUGAAGACAAGAAGCCCAGCCUCUCCCGGCCUUCCUGUUGGGGCCGUGUCUUGCUGCCCAUGAGCUGAGCUGGAGGCCCCAUCCCAGGCCAUGCAUCUCCUGUUGGGCUCUGACCCACGUGCUUCUUAGUCCUGGCGGAACAUUCUAACCACCUGGGGGAGCUUUGAAGCCUACACUUGCCCAGAACCCAGGACGUGGAGCUCAUGGAUGGAUUUAGAAAGCCCCCAGGUGAUUCUAAUACGUAGCGGGGGGAGUGGUGGUGGUGCUCAGGUGUAGCCAUGGUUCCAGCCUUUCUGAACUUCUCCCCAGUGGAUCUGCGCAUGUGUCCAUCCUCCCACAUGCAGCACACACUGUCUUCCCCUCCACAAAGCCUUCUUCCAGCUUUUCUAACUGGCGUUCUCUCCCCUGGGAAGGCUCAGCACAAAUGCUCUUGGAGAGAACUUGCAGUCCUCUCCUCUGGGCUUCCUAUUUGUGCAUCACUUCUAUGGACCCUUGAACCUGCUGGGUCCCAUUGCUCGGCUUGUUCUCCUUGGACUGUGAGCUCUUGACCGUGAUGGUCUGGUAUGCCCAGUUUCUGACAGGGCCAGGGACAAAACUGUGCUUGGUGAUGGAAGGUUGAUGGAUGUCCCAAUGAGUGUCCUGCUCAGAGAGCCAGUCUUCAUGUAGCUGAGACCUUCACCCUUCCAAAUGCUGACCUUUCUGAAGAGCCCUGGAGGCUGUGAGGCAGGGUCUCACACAGGGUGUACAUGUUCAUGCUCCCCAGGCCUGGGAGAGGGGAGGGGGCCACGCGGAGUGGGAUUUGAGGGAAGGGCCUUCUCCCUCCUCCCAACCCCUGCAUAAAAAUCUCUCCUAUAUGAUGGAAGGCUCAGUCCUUAGUUUCCAUGCUUCGAAAACCUAUGCUUGAAGCAAAGAUUUAAAAAUAAAACCACCUUUUCCUGAGGACUCAGCUUACAUCAGUGAUACAUGCAAUAUUCCAUUUAAUCAUCAUUGCCGUCUUGUGUUCACCUGUCCUUACGGGCCGGUGAGGAAACAGAGGCUCUUGGAUAUUGAUUUAUAUACCAGAGACUGCUUGGGCUCACCGAUACCCCGUCUCCUCCUCCUCUGAGGAUCGUAGAUGAUAUUCUUCUGGUCUCCUUUGCAGUCCAUGGAUAUAGGAGGGUGGAGGCAGGGGGCUUGGCCCUUCAUCAGGUUGUGGUCCAUUAAAAAUAAAAUAGUCCCGGGGCGCCUGGGUGGCUCAGUGGGUUAAAGCCUCUGCCUUCAGCUCAGGUCGUGGUGGUCUCAGGGUCCUGGGAUCAAGCCCCACAUCGGGUUCUCUGCUUGGCGGGGAGCCUGCUUCCUCCUCUCUCUCUGCCUACUUGUGAUCUCUGUCUGUCAAGUGAAUAAAUAAAAUCUUAAAAAAUAAAAUAAAAAAAAAUAGUCAUUCACAGGGUCUUGGAUCUUUCUCCCUCAACCAGCUCAGUGGAGAGGAUGUUAAAGAUUCUGAGGAUCUGGAAGAGCAAGCCGCAGGAUGAAAGGGGGCUGGGGCUCUGAGGGACGGCGUGAAACAGCCGUUUCCAUCACUGACCCACAGCUGACGGCUGUGUAAUGCUUUGAUUAUCAUUUGUCUGCAAGAGGUGAGGACCCACGUGGAUGUCUACCCGCCUUCUUUAGCCCCUGAGCACAGGACCUGGCAUGGGACAAACUCUCCAUAGGACGCUGCUGAAUGAAUGAAAAAUGAGGACUAUAUGAAAAUAUUGUGUGCAGAGUACUUAGCACUCUUCUUGGCAUUAGUAGGCAUCAACAGAUACUAGCUGUUGUUGAUAGUAUUACUCUGUGGGCUUGAUGGAAAUUAAAAAAAAAACUUGUCUAAAUCAUAAGUGUUCUUCUUACUUGGGUUGCCCCCGCUGUGCCAGUUUGGGGAUUAAUGAAUCUGGAAGAAAAUACAGACACACACAGAUACACA